rnacentral:misc_RNA from 1 species
AUCUUGAUAAAAUUUAUAUGUGACCACAUGAUAAACAUCAGAUUUCGAUUAAAUUAAAAAUUAUCAAAACCGGUACACCCAGUAAAAAGUUAUUGCAGAUUUUCGAGAGUUUCCCUCGAUUUCUCUGGGAUCCCAUCAUCAGAUCCUGGUUUCCUUAUCACGGUACCAAACUAGGGAUAUCCCCUUUCCAACAAAAAAAGAAUUAUCAAAAUCGGUACAUUCAGUAGAAAGUUAUGCGGUAUAAUACAACGUAGGUCGACGAAAAAAGCGUCAAGUAAAAACGCAUAAUUAGAUACAACUCGAAAAGUAGUUGUUAGAUCUCAAAUAAAUUUAAAUGUGACCAAUUGACACACACCACCUUUCGAUUUAAAAAAAAAUUGUCGAAGUCGGUCCACCCGGUCAAAAGUUCUGAUGU